GGAGAACUUAAGUUUUACCGUGACCUAAAAAAAAAAAAACCUUUCGAUUUCUCUCCUCUUCUCACGCGACGACGACUUUUGCGUGGGCGAAACCGAAGCCGGCAUUAGGGCUCCACUCCGGCAGCCGACGAGUGCCUUCCUCCGCGGGUUCUUCACAGAUCCGAGCCCCUCUCAGCACGGUGACCGCGCGGGCACAAGAAGAGGCCGGAAGCUUGCAAGCACCUGGAACCCUAGCAGCCUCUCCCUCUCGGCAGUAAGUCCAAGAAAGCAUGAUACAGGAAAGGAAAAAGUUUUAGCAAAGGAAGGCGACAAGGAGGUGUUCGAGGAUGUGUGAUGCCAGGACUAUGGAAGCCCUGAGACUUAGUUAAGAAUUUGUUUGGAUUAAUCCUUUAUUUAGGGUGAUAAGAAAAUUUGAAAGUAAGAAGUUGUAAUUCAUUAUUAAGUUUCCGCAUUUUAGUAUUUGGGAUGAUAUAUGUUAUUUUGAUGUUGUUAGGACAUAGUAGAUGAAUUAUAAUCUUGUGUGA